UACGUAGGGUGCGAGCGUUGUCCGGAAUUAUUGGGCGUAAAGGGCUCGUAGGCGGUUUGUCGCGUCGGGAGUGAAAACCUACAGCUUAACUGUGGGCUUGCUUUCGAUACGGGCAGACUAGAGGUAUGCAGGGGAGAACGGAAUUCCCGGUGUAGCGGUGAAAUGCGCAGAUAUCGGGAGGAACACCGGUGGCGAAGGUGGUUCUCUGGGCCUGACCUGACGCUGAGGAGCGAAAGCGUGGGGAGCGAACAGG
rnacentral:rRNA from 1 species